GUCAUCGAUCUCAAUCCUCUAAAUGCAAUUCCCCGUCAUCAGUGUAAUUAAAUGAUUGUGCAUAAUUCGCGACGUCACCGAGGAGCGCACCCGUCGAGGAAGUGACGUGUCGAGCCGUGCCAGAGGAAGUUUGUGGCGGCGUUGUGAGAGAAAGUUUCCCCGGAGCAGCUGCGCUUGGAGCGGGACGAACCGUGACACCGUGGACCGAGCUGACCUGAGCGGCGAGAGAGCGCGUCGUGCGGCGCUUGGACGCGUGUGACGGCGCCCGAGAGGCGUGCAGUGGGUUCGUGAGGCCGUGUGAUCUUGUCCUGCUCGCCGUGAGAUGGGGAAGGAGCAGGAACUGUUGGAGGCGGCGCGCACCGGGAAUCUGCCCGCCGUCGAGAAGCUGCUGUCCGCGAAGAGACAGUCGGGCGGCUCGGCCUCCUCGGGGGGGUCCGGAUCUACCGGGAAUGUCGGGAGCUCUUCCCACACGCUCUCCAGUCUGCUCAGGCCUGUUGUGUCCGCUCUGUUUGACAGUAUCUGGAGGGGCCCGAAUGUGAACUGUGUGGACAGCACUGGAUACACACCUCUUCACCAUGCUGCUUUAAACGGACACAGUGAGGUGGUGGAGGUACUUCUGAGGAACGAGGCUCUGACGAACAUCGCUGAUAACAAGGGCUGUUACCCUCUGCACCUGGCGGCGUGGAAGGGGGACCAGCGAAUCGUCAAACUCCUCAUCCAUCAGGGUCCCUCUCACCCCAAACUCAACGAACAGAGCGCUCUAGACCACACUGAGUUCAAACGCUGUGGCCCAUUUGACCCCUAUAUUAAUGCCAAGAACAAUGACAACGAGACGCCGCUGCACUGUGCGGCUCAGUACGGACACACUCAGGUGGUGCAGCUGCUGCUGGAGGAGCUGACGGACCCCACCAUGCGCAACAACAAGUUUGAGACGCCGCUGGACCUGGCAGCACUCUACGGCCGGCUGGACGUGGUCAAACUUCUGCUCAGCGCUCAUCCCAACCUGCUCAGCUCCAACACCAAGAAACACACCCCCCUCCACCUGGCCUCCCGCAACGGACACCUGCCGGUGGUGGAGGUGCUGCUGGCCGCCGGCGUGGACCUCAACUACACGACGGAGAAAGGCAGUGCCCUUCAUGAAGCAGCUCUCUUUGGAAAGACAGAAGUAGUACAAAAACUACUCAACGCAGGGAUCGAUGUGAAUAUUGUGGACGGUAAGAGUCUAACAGCGCUGGACACUGUUAGAGACAUGCCCUCUCAAAAGAGCCGACAGAUCGCUGCGCUCAUACAAGCUCAUAUGAGCGGCCGUCCGUCAGAAACAAGCCUCCCUCCUCCACCAGUGCCACCUCCUCAAGAGAGCCUGAGCCCCAAGAGAAAAGGAGAAAUGGAGCAGCAGGUCAGUGAGCUCAUAUCCGGUUUGGCUUCGAGCCCUGUGGAAGAGAGUCCGUAUGAAGCUCUGUUUGAGGCGUCCUCGUGUGUCUCUCUGGACAGUCUGGCCAGCGGAAAGUCAUCGGACAGAGACUCGGGACGACCGGACAGCGAAGCCGGGAAGAAAGAGCGCCAUCCUCCACAGAAUCGUCCUGCACAGGAAGAGGAUCUCAGCUCUGAGGCGGUUUACACUAACAGCAGUGUGGAUGAACACGCCGAGCCUCUGGAUGAGGAAGAGCACACAUAUGAACUCUUAGUCACCGCACAGACCAAAAUGCCCAACAACACACAAAGCAAAGCAGAUGUGGAGGUCUCAGCCAAGUCUUCCAACAGUGUCCUACCUCAGCGAAAGACCACUGCACACAUUGACCUGCGACCUGCAGGGUCCAACACAAACACUCUGCAGCCGCCUGCAGCUCAUUUUAACACAGGACAGACGUCUGGAGAGAGCUCCUCGCACGGUGACGAUAUAAGCGCUGCUGUUCCUGAGCAGUUCACUGGUCUGCUUCACGGUUCCUCGCCGGUGGUCGACUGUCGGGAGGAAGCAUUCACACUGCCGUCCUCUGAAGCGAAGUCCGCCGCGGCUUCCAGCACUUCGACAUCUGCGAGCUCCGCCCCCCUUCCCCAUCCCAAAUCGGCAGUAACCAUGGAAACCAUUCUCCAGGACACUGACCCCAAAGCUAUCUAUGCCACGGUCAACAAAGAGCCACGGAGUUCGCCAAAACACAACUCACCAGCGCGCGAUUCUCCGGUGACUAGAAGGAUGCCUCCGCCAGGUGAUCUCAAACUAGCGCGUAGCCUAUCGAAGUCUGACUCCGACCUGCUGGUGUCUCCACCCGGUGAGGAAGAGACAGGGUUGGGCGGCCGAAGUGAGUCAGUGUCCAACUGUAGCACCACCAAGAGAAGGCUGGAAAAAUCACCUUCAUUCACUUCAGAAUGGGACGAGAGACAGAGGCAUUCCCUCUCUAUUCCAUGGAGACAUCGGCCGUCCCAAAGAAUAGAGAAGAUCAUGACUCUAAUUGGUGCUGGCAUCGACUUCUCAAAAGACCAGGAGUGCCCUGCCACAGGUGGAUUCGGGAGGCUGCUUGAACAGCCGGUCGGGGAUUGGUUGGAGAAUAUCGGACUUCCGCAGUAUGAGAGCAAGCUACUGCUCAACGGCUUUGACGACCUGCGGUUCAUGGGAAAUGACGUAAUGGAAGAGCAAGACCUGAGAGAAAUUGGCAUCACGGACCCGGCUCAUCGCAGGAAGAUCCUCAGUGCUGCACGUUCUCUACCAAAGGUGAAAGCGUUAGGCUGUGACGGCAGCACGUCCCUCUCUGCGUGGCUGGACGUCCUGGGUCUUCAGGAAUACCUGCAGAACUUCCUGUCCAGCGGCUAUCGCACGCUAGAAUGUGUGAAGAACCUGUGGGAGCUGGAGAUCGUCAAUGUGCUGAAGAUCACAUUGUUGGGACACAGGAAAAGGAUUAUUGCAUCGUUAGCUGAACGGCCGUAUGAGGAGCCUCCGGUCAAACCCCCCCGCCUCUCUCAGAUCAGAUGUCAGGAUCUCAUGUCCCAGACCUCGUCUCCUCUCAGUCACUCAGACUCCUACACGCGCUCCAUGGAUCCCCUGUUACCUGCUGGUGAUUCUGGGAGGAGGAGGGGUCCCGACUCAGAAUAUGACCUGGCUGUUCGACAGCGGCCCAAUGACAGACCACAGCCACAGGAGAGAUUUGAGGAACGCCAACGGGAGCCUCGCUUGACCUUACGACCCCCGAGUCAGGCGGCGCCGUACACACCGGUCCAGAACUGGCACCAUCAGCCCGAGAAGCUCAUCUUCGAAUCAUGCGGUUACGAAGCCAACUAUCUGGGCUCGAUGCUCAUUAAAGAACUAAGAGGAACAGAGUCAACGCAGGACGCCUGUGCUAAAAUGAGAAGGUCGACAGAACAGAUGAGGAAGAUCCCCACCAUCGUCCUCUCCAUCACGUACAAGGGUGUGAAAUUCAUUGAUGCUGUCAACAAGAACAUCAUUGCAGAACAUGAGAUCAGGAACAUAUCUUGUGCGGCUCAGGACCCAGAGGACCUCUGCACGUUUGCUUACAUCACUAAAGAUCUAAAGAGCAGCCAUCAUUACUGCCACGUGUUCAGCACCAUAGACGUGAACCUGACCUUUGAGAUCAUUCUGACGCUGGGACAGGCGUUUGAAGUGGCCUAUCAGCUGGCCCUGCAGGCCCAGAGGACCAGACAGCAGCAGAGCGCAGCCGGAGCCACGGAGAUCAUCGAGACCAAGAGCAGCAGACCUGUCCCCAAACCACGAGGGAGCAUGCGCAAGUCAGGGGUGGAAGCGAUGGAUGUGGACACUCACGCUCAGAGCAGUGCCACCUGGAUCCUGGACUCCAAAGAUCCCAAGCGCACCGUCAGCACCAAGCGUCGACCGCAGUGAGACACUGAUGAAGACUUCCUCUUCCUCUUCUUCAGUCUGAGCUAAAACACCUGGACUCCACUAAACAUGUAGCAUCAGAUCAAAACAGUCCCCGCCGCCAAAGAUUACAAUAUAAAGCACUUUCCAUCAAUACGCUGACCGCUGUGUCGGAUGCCAGACAGAAAGGAAAGCUGGGAUGCCAGUGACAGCAUGACUGUGGAUGAGACUUGUAGUGUGUGUGCGUGUGUGUGUGUUUAUAUAGAUCUGUGUUAAGUGUCAGAAGUCUCCUCACACCUGCAGUGAGAUCCUCCCAUCCAUCAUCAGGCUUUCAACAAACAAAACAAAAAGAGUCCCGUCCACUUAAACACUUGACAAAACCUCUUCCUCUGAAAAACAUCUGGCUUCUAUCAGAUUUCAGAAGCUCUCUGACACUGGAAACUCUCAGCAGUCACUGUAUGCUCAGUCUUUACUUUGAUUUCUUUGAGAUUGUUUUAUUUUCAUUGUGAAGCGGCUGUCGACACGCUUUUGUUUUGUCUGUGGUCUUUCAUCUCAAAAAGUGUAGAUGCUUUUAUUUUGUCUGAUAACUUUGAAAAUAAACCCAUUGAGUUGGAAACACUGAUUCCCGUUCAGGCAAACACUGAUUAGAGAGUACUGCCUUGUCUUUUGAUGUCCAGUUAAGAUCAGUCCAUCUGUAAGUUGAGGUCUUUGAUUCUUAUGGUCGGUAUUUUUAAGUCGGGUGGCCAACAG